rnacentral:rRNA from 1 species
CAGUAGCCACGGUAAUACGAAGGGGGCUAGCGUUGUUCGGAUUUACUGGGCGUAAAGGGCGCGUAGGCGGACUGAUAAGUCAGGGGUGAAAUCCCAAGGCUCAACCUUGGAACUGCCUUUGAUACUGUUUGUCUUGAGUUCGAGAGAGGUAAGCGGAACUGCGAGUGUAGAGGUGAAAUUCGUAGAUAUUCGCAAGAACACCAGUGGCGAAGGCGGCUUACUGGCUCGAAACUGACGCUGAGGCGCGAAAGCGUGGGGAGCAAACAGGAUUAGAUACCCCCGUAGUCCCUGUCUCUUAUAC